rnacentral:tRNA from 1 species
GCGCCGGUGGUGUAAUGGCGUAGAGCAUUCCCGCCCGGUCAGAGGGAGGUGCGGGUUCGAGUCCGGCCUGGCGCU